AUGAACGCUAGCUACAGGCUUAACACAUGCAAGUCGAGGGGCAGCAUUUUAGUUUGCUUGCAAACUGAAGAUGGCGACCGGCGCACGGGUGAGUAACACGUAUCCAACCUGCCGAUAACUCCGGAAUAGCCUUUCGAAAGAAAGAUUAAUACCGGAUGGCAUACGAAUAUCGCAUGAUAUUUUUAUUAAAGAAUUUCGGUUAUCGAUGGGGAUGCGUUCCAUUAGUUUGUUGGCGGGGUAACGGCCCACCAAGACUACGAUGGAUAGGGGUUCUGAGAGGAAGGUCCCCCACAUUGGAACUGAGACACGGUCCAAACUCCUACGGGAGGCAGCAGUGAGGAAUAUUGGUCAAUGGGCGAGAGCCUGAACCAGCCAAGUAGCGUGAAGGAUGAAGGCUCUAUGGGUCGUAAACUUCUUUUAUAUGGGAAUAAAGUUUUCCACGUGUGGAAUUUUGUAUGUACCAUAUGAAUAAGGAUCGGCUAACUCCGUGCCAGCAGCCGCGGUAAUACGGAGGAUCCGAGCGUUAUCCGGAUUUAUUGGGUUUAAAGGGAGCGUAGGUGGAUUGUUAAGUCAGUUGUGAAAGUUUGCGGCUCAACCGUAAAAUUGCAGUUGAAACUGGCAGUCUUGAGUACAGUAGAGGUGGGCGGAAUUCGUGGUGUAGCGGUGAAAUGCUUAGAUAUCACGAAGAACUCCGAUUGCGAAGGCAGCUCACUAGACUGUCACUGACACUGAUGCUCGAAAGUGUGGGUAUCAAACAGGAUUAGAUACCCUGGUAGUCCACACAGUAAACGAUGAAUACUCGCUGUUUGCGAUAUACAGUAAGCGGCCAAGCGAAAGCAUUAAGUAUUCCACCUGGGGAGUACGCCGGCAACGGUGAAACUCAAAGGAAUUGACGGGGGCCCGCACAAGCGGAGGAACAUGUGGUUUAAUUCGAUGAUACGCGAGGAACCUUACCCGGGCUUAAAUUGCAACAGAAUAUAUUGGAAACAGUAUAGCCGUAAGGCUGUUGUGAAGGUGCUGCAUGGUUGUCGUCAGCUCGUGCCGUGAGGUGUCGGCUUAAGUGCCAUAACGAGCGCAACCCUUAUCUUUAGUUACUAACAGGUGAUGCUGAGGACUCUAGAGAGACUGCCGUCGUAAGAUGUGAGGAAGGUGGGGAUGACGUCAAAUCAGCACGGCCCUUACGUCCGGGGCUACACACGUGUUACAAUGGGGGGUACAGAAGGCGGCUACCUGGUGACAGGAUGCUAAUCCCAAAAACCUCUCUCAGUUCGGAUCGAAGUCUGCAACCCGACUUCGUGAAGCUGGAUUCGCUAGUAAUCGCGCAUCAGCCAUGGCGCGGUGAAUACGUUCCCGGGCCUUGUACACACCGCCCGUCAAGCCAUGAAAGCCGGGGGUACCUGAAGUACGUAACCGCAAGGAGCGUCCUAGGGUAAAACUGGUAAUUGGGGCU
rnacentral:rRNA from 1 species